GAUGAACGCUAGCGGCAGGCUUAACACAUGCAAGUCGAGGGGCAGCAUGAACCGACCUUCGGGAAGGUUUGACGGCGACCGGCGCAAGGGUGCGUAACGCGUGAGCAACUUGCCCUUAUCAGGGGGAUAACCGGUGGAAACGCCGACUAAUACCCCAUGGCAUCACAAUGAGGCAUCUUUUUGUGAUUAAAGAAAUUCGGAUAAGGAUAGGCUCGCGUGACAUUAGCUAGACGGCGGGGUAACGGCCCACCGUGGCUACGAUGUCUAGGGGUUCUGAGAGGAAGGUCCCCCACACUGGAACUGAGACACGGUCCAGACUCCUACGGGAGGCAGCAGUGAGGAAUAUUGGUCAAUGGCCGGAAGGCUGAACCAGCCAAGUAGCGUGAAGGAUGAAGGUUCUAUGGAUUGUAAACUUCUUUUAUACGGGAAUAAAACCACCUACGUGUAGGUGCUUGUAUGUACCGUAUGAAUAAGCAUCGGCUAACUCCGUG
rnacentral:rRNA from 1 species